GACUCGUUAGCUCAGGUGGUAGAGCAACUGACUUUUAAUCAGUGGGUCGCAGGUUCGAGUCCUGCACGGGUCA
rfam:Facklamia ignava CCTG 37419 genomic scaffold supercont1.1, whole genome shotgun sequence.